CCUACGGGGGGCAGCAGUGGGGAAUAUUGCACAAUGGGGGAAACCCUGAUGCAGCGACGCCGCGUGAGUGAAGAAGUAAUUCGUUACGUAAAGCUCUAUCAGCAGGGAAGAAAAUGACGGUACCUGAGUAAGAAGCCCCGGCUAACUACGUGCCAGCAGCCGCGGUAAUACGUAGGGGGCAAGCGUUAUCCGGAUUUACUGGGUGUAAAGGGAGCGUAGACGGUGCGCCAAGUCUGGAGUGAAAUGCCGCAGCUUAACUGCGGAACUGCUUUGGAAACUGGCGUACUGGAGUGCGGGAGGGGUAAGCGGAAUUCCUAGUGUAGCGGUGAAAUGCGUAGAUAUUAGGAGGAACACCGGUGGCGAAGGCGGCUUACUGGACCGUAACUGACGUUGAGGCUCGAAAGCGUGGGGAGCAAACAGGAUUAGAUACCCCAGUAG
rnacentral:rRNA from 1 species